rnacentral:rRNA from 1 species
AACGAACGCUGGCGGCAUGCCUAACACAUGCAAGUCGAACGAGACCUUCGGGUCUAGUGGCGCACGGGUGCGUAACGCGUGGGAACCUGCCCUUAGGUUCGGAAUAACUCCCCGAAAGGGGUUCUAAUACCGGAUAAUGUCUUCGGACCAAAGAUUUAUCGCCUUUGGAUGGGCCCGCGUUGGAUUAGCUAGUUGGUAGGGUAAAAGCCUACCAAGGCGACGAUCCAUAGCUGGUCUGAGAGGAUGAUCAGCCACACUGGGACUGAGACACGGCCCAGACUCCUACGGGAGGCAGCAGUGGGGAAUAUUGGAAAGUGGGCGAAAGCCUGAUCCAGCAAUGCCGCGUGAGUGAUGAAGGCCUUAGGGUUGUAAAGCUCUUUUACACGGGAUGAUAAUGACAGUACCGGGAGAAUAAGCUCCGGCUAACUCCGUG